AGGAAGGAAACCGUGAAACCCCUUGGCACCUGUGAGCUACUGACUUUCCCACAAAGGCAUAGGAAAACAAACAAAUAGAUUCCCCGUGCAGGGGAAGACAGCUUUGUUUUGGAGAGUUUUACACACCAACUCCCAACAGGGAAAGAAAGGAUCCGAUUGCUGUCUGGAUAGAGCAUUUCCUUUGCCUGCAGAGGAGGCGAAACCUGAUUCGGGACACAAAGACACACAGGGACCGUUCAAGCAGCAAGAAAACAAACUCCUGUUGUCUCCUGAACACAAUCAACUAAGCAGCAUCCCAUGUCCUUGGAGCCUCUGGCAGCUAGGGUGAGGUCAUUCUCCAGACUCAAGCAAGAAUGAGUGAGAUUCUCGUCUGUAGACAUCAGUGAUUGCUCAUCAUGUAAAAGAGUCCAAUAUAAAGAAGACUAUCAUGCAAUUGAAGCCUGGAAGAAACUAAGUGGACAGUCACAACUCAGAACUGAUGAAAAGCUCGAGACCAUGGUAUGAUCAUCUCUAAUUCACCUCGGUCUCAAAAGAUCUUGGGGACAGUCUGGAAUGAUUUGGACAGACAAGAGCUCCAAGUUCAGCUUGCUGUAAGGGAUGGCACACACAUGAUGAACAGUCUGGAGCAACAUCAGCAUUGUCAUCAAGAACAAUAAUAUUUAUUUCCCGUGUCUACAGAAAAGAUGGGUCUAUGUCAAAAAGGCAGUCGAAAUAAGUGAUCUGUUCAUUUCGAUGACUUAUAAAAAAUAUUUACAAGAUUUUAAAGUGCAAUCGUUUGUUUAUUGCCAAGAAAUUCAUCUGUUAUUUUAAAUUACAGGAAAAAAAAAGCAUGGUCUCCAUCUUUCAUGAGUUCAAAAUGGUAACUGUUUAUUUGGAGCAAGAUAACUAAGACUUCCAUUUUACUGCAGCUGAUGAUAUAGUCUCAGCUAUUAACCUUUAACGGCAAAGCCAGACUGCUCCUCUAAGUUCUAGAAUUCUUUGGAAAUCUAAACAUUUUCCCCCAAUAUUCUUUUAUUACUAACAAUUUCUGGUUCAGUAAAAGUGCACCCCAUUACAAGGCUGCACUCAAAACUCUGAGAACCGUGUUUUAAUGUCCUCCUGUGGGGUUUUCAUUUUCUGUUGUCUGUUAAUAAACCAAGAAUAGCUUUCUGCAGGGGACAGGCUCUUUAUGAAUAGCCUGGGAACCAGAGCAGCUGGGAGAGGAUAGAGCUCUCUCUCUCUCUCUCUCUCUCUCUCUCUCUCUCUCUCUCUCUCUCUCUCUCUCUCUCUCUUUGACAACCACCUUUUCACAAGGAAGUGCAUUUAUAAGCUGGUACACGCUAAACACCUUGCAGCCCAAUCAUCACUGUGAAAGAAAAUGUCAAAUAAAAAGCUCUCCUCGGU
rnacentral:lncRNA from 1 species